rnacentral:rRNA from 1 species
GAUUACAUAGAAACAUCCUACUUCAUGUGUGAGCCGAGUUGCAGCCACACAAUCUGAACUGAGACUAUCUUUAUGAGAUUCGCUCCAUGUUACCCUAUUGCUGCUCUUUGUAAUAGCCAUUGUAGCACGGGUGUGGCCCAAAACGUAAGGGCCGUGAUGAUUUGACGUCAUCCCCACCUUCCUCCGUGUUAACCACGGCGGUCUGUACAGAGUUCCUAACUUAAUAUUGGCAACUGUACACGAGGGUUGCGCUCGUUGCAGGACUUAACCUAACAUCUCACGACACGAGCUGACGACAACCAUGCAACACCUGUCUUCGUGCCCCGAAGGGAAAACCUCAUUACAAGGUUCGUCACUAGAUGUCAAGUUCUGGUAAGGUUUUUCGCGUUGCUUCGAAUUAAACCCCAUGCUCCGCUGCUUGUGCGGGUCCCCGUCAAUUUCUUUGAGUUUCAACCUUGCGGCCGUAGUCCCCAGGCGGAAUACUUAAUGCGUUUGCGUCGGCACAGAUGGAGUCGAUACCACCUACACCUAGUAUUCAUCGUUUACAGCGUGGACUACCAGGGUAUCUAAUCCUGUUUGCUCCCCACGCUUUCGUGCCUCAGCGUCAGUUACGGCCCAGUAUGUCCGCUUUCGCCUCCGGUGUUCCUCCUAAUAUCUACCCAUUCCACCGCCUACCUAGGAAUUCCAC